rnacentral:tRNA from 1 species
GGGUGAUUAGCUCAGUUGGGAGAGCAUCGCCCUUACAAGGCGAGGGUCACUGGUUCAAGUCCAGU